GAGCGCGUUCCAGCAUUUCGCGAUUCAACUGAGCACACCCUUCACACGGGUGGGGUCGCAGGUUCAAUCCCUGCCGCGCCCACCA
rnacentral:tRNA from 1 species